rnacentral:rRNA from 1 species
GAUGAAUGCUGGCGGCGUGCCUAACACAUGCAAGUCGAGCGGCAGCGAGGGGUGCUUGCACCCUGUCGGCGAGCGGCGAACGGCUGAGUAACGCGUAGGAAUUUUCCCCAAAGUGAGGAAUAACCGCCCGAAAGGGUAGCUAAUGCCGCAUAUGGUCUUCGGAUUACAGGAUUUAUCCGCUUUGGGAGAAGCCUGCGUUGGAUUAGGUUGUUGGUAGGGUAAUGGCCUACCAAGCCGACGAUCCAUAGCUGGUCUGAGAGGAUGAUCAGCCAGACUGGAACUGAGACACGGUCCAGACUCCUACGCGAGGCAGCAGUGAGGGAUCUUCCACAAUGGGCGAAAGCCUGAUGGAGCAACGCCGCGUGAAGGAUGAAGGCCUUCGGGUUGUAAACUUCUUUUAUGAGUGAAGAAUAUGACGGUAACUCGUGAAUAAGCACCGGCUAACUACGUG